rnacentral:rRNA from 1 species
AUUGAACGCUGGCGGCAGGCCUAACACAUGCAAGUCGAACGGUGACAGGAAGCAGCUUGCUGCUUCGCUGACGAGUGGCGGACGGGUGAGUAAUGUCUGGGAAACUGCCUGAUGGAGGGGGAUAACUACUGGAAACGGUAGCUAAUACCGCAUAACGUCGCAAGACCAAAGAGGGGGACCUUAGGGCCUCUUGCCAUCGGAUGUGCCCAGAUGGGAUUAGCUAGUAGGUGGGGUAACGGCUCACCUAGGCGACGAUCCCUAGCUGGUCUGAGAGGAUGACCAGCCACACUGGAACUGAGACACGGUCCAGACUCCUACGGGAGGCAGCAGUGGGGAAUAUUGCACAAUGGGCGCAAGCCUGAUGCAGCCAUGCCGCGUGUAUGAAGAAGGCCUUCGGGUUGUAAAGUACUUUCAGCGGGGAGGAAGGGAGUAAAGUUAAUACCUUUGCUCAUUGACGUUACCCGCAGAAGAAGCACCGGCUAACUCCGUG